rnacentral:lncRNA from 1 species
UGCUCCAUGUGCAUUGCAUUUCAUAAGCAUCAUGCCACCCUUGCAUUUAAUCACAUUUAAAACCCCAAACUUAACCCAGAAAACCCUUUUGCAAAAAUGCCUUUAUUUAAAUUUGGGCUUUGUUAUUUUUUACUUUUGAAUAAUUGCAUUUUAACCCAUGAGGGUUUUGGCAUAAAAAGGGAGUUAAUGCAUAUAUAAAGCUAUCCCAUAAUUUGGCUUUUAAAUUUGUUUUGAAAAAACAAAUUAUUUUGAUAGUUUAAAAGUCAUUAAAGGCUAAUUUAUAGGCAAAAAUAUUUUUAAAUAUUUUAUUUUGAGGGACUUCUUGUCCCAAAAGUUAGAUCAUAUGAAAAUAUGAUUUCACAAAUUUUGUUGCAAUUUAUUUGGAGUGAUUUGGAGCUUUGAAUCAAUUUUGGUGUUCAAAAACAGAAAAAUAGAAAAAAAAGAAAAGGAAAAGAAAAAAAAAAGAAAACCGAGGACGGCCCGGCCAAAUGGGCCGAACCGGCCUGUUAACCGGCCGCGCGCCGAGCCGCUGCCACUGACAUGCGGGCCCCGCUUGUCAGCUCCUCCUUUUCCAACUGCCAAGUGAGAUCCCCGGCCACGACGCCCGCGAGCACGCGCCGCGCCUCCACUCCGAUUCCUUCGCGUCCACGACCCCAAAUCCGAAACCGCGCGUCACAUCGAAGUCCCCGUUUUCCUCUUCUU